UAGAGGGGUAAUCCACACUCUACUAAGAAAGAACUAGCUCUGAUAUCUCAAGUUAGUGUAGUCUCGACAAACUGUCACGGACACAAAAUACACACUUAAAAUCUAACAAGAAGUUCAAGAAGAAGUUGCAGAACUAGAUUAAACAGAUGAGUACAAGAACAACACCAGAAAGGUGAGCUAGAACUCCAAGAGAUGUGUUGUC
rnacentral:lncRNA from 1 species